GACGAACGCUGGUGGCGUGCUUAACACAUGCAAGUCGAACGGGCUUUAGUAAACAGAAGCCUCGGUGGAAGAUUACUAAUGAGAGUGGCGAACGGGUGAGUAACGCGUGAGCAACCUGCCUAUGACAGUGGGAUAGCCUCGGGAAACCGGGAUUAAUACCGCAUAAAAUCGUAGAAACACAUGUUUUAACGGUCAAAGAUUUAUCGGUCAUAGAGGGGCUCGCGUCUGAUUAGCUAGUUGGUGAGAUAACAGCCCACCAAGGCGACGAUCAGUAGCCGGGAUGAGAGGAUGAACGGCCACAUUGGAACUGAGACACGGUCCAAACUCCUACGGGAGGCAGGAGUGGGGAAUAGUGCACAAUGGGGUAAACCCUGAUGCAGCGACGCCGCGUGAACGAAGAAGGUAGUCGUAUCGUAAAGUUCUGUCCUAUGGGAAGAUAAUGACAGUACCAUAGAAGAAAGCUCCGGCUAAAUACGUG
rnacentral:rRNA from 1 species